GGUCACUUAGUUCAGUUGGAUAGAACGCUUGACUACGGAUCAAGAGGUCCCAGGUUCAAGUCCUGGAGUGAUC